rnacentral:lncRNA from 1 species
GGGGCUCAGCCGCUCCUCGCCCUCAGCAGAGCGGCCAGGACAGAAGGGUGUGAAAAUCGCCAGUCAUUUGUUUUUAAAAUUUAAAAGUUUAAUAGUAAUAAAAUGGUUAUAAAAAUAGCAAUAUAAUUAGAGUAAUAAAAAUUUUGGACAAUUUUAAUUAGGACAAUAUGAGACAAUAAAAACAAAGAGUUAUGGACGUCUGGGUAGCUUCUUCUGGGCAGCAUAAGCCCGAAAAAGGACCCACGUUAACAGAGGAUUAACCCUUAAAAACAAUAGCCUGUUGCAUAUUCAUAAACCUCAUACAUGAUGCGUAAAGUCCAUUCAAACGCAGGAUUCUCUCUGGGCAGGGUCAGCUUCUUCCUCUGAUUCCUGACAGCUCUUCAUGGCUGAGCAAGGCAGGAAGAAGUUCAUUUCUUCUAAUAAUGGAACAAUAAAUUUGUUUUCUCUGAAAGACUGAGAGGUGUCCCGUGGCUGCUAUCUCAGUGCGAGUCCUUCCUUUAAAAAAGUAUCUUACACAGCAUAGUUUCUAUUUUAACAUUAUGUUAUAACCUAAAACCAUAUUUAACACACCACUUAAGAAAAUUAACACAGCAUAACUUUCUAACAUAACACAUAUAAUAUUCAUUUUAAUAUUUGCAAAAAGGCAAUCAUAAAACACAUUUUUCACAAUGAGAAGGGACAGGAGGCACAAACUCGGCGGUGCCAUGGGGAGAGUUGAGCAGGUGAGUCAGAAGCUGUGCAGACAAGCAGGGCAGAGCAAGGAAAGCCUUCCCGUGGGCUCAGCCAUCUCCGGGAGAGCAGGGCCCAACUCAGGUGAUAAUUAAUGGUCACCAUUGGUGGGAACACCGGUGCCACCACCCCGAUCCUGCUCUGCCCCUUUCUGUCUGGAGCACGGUGUCCUUUGCUCUGGGGAAUCCCUUCAGCCCCCUGGGUCGCUGCCCCAGCUGUGUCUCCUCCCUGCUGUGCCCAGCAGGAACCCAAAGCAGCCCCAGCUCAGCCCCUGGGGAGGGAAUGAACUGCAGCCCAGCCAGAGCCGGCAGAGCACACCAUGGUAAUGCCCGUGUUUUUUACACGUUUCCUGUAGGCACACCGGGGAGUGUUGCAAAACACACAUCUGU